AAUUAUUCUUUGUUUACAAUUUUUAUUGAUAAGUCGAAAUAUGGAAAACUCGUGAAACAGUUGUGUUCGCGAGUUCACUGCGGCCGGCUUCAGUCGUGCUUUGCGGCAACAGCGCGCGCCUGAAAGCCUCCGUUGAAAGCUCCCCACCUCCCGCCUAUACUUGCAUACAAAAAUCAUCGGUUUCGGCUCCACUAAUAAAUUCUUAAAGAAGAUUAAAAACAUGGCUGCUCCAGAAGGACCCCCUGGCAUGCCGCCGACGGAGCCGCAGACGGGCCCUGACGGGGAAAUCAUUGGCGGGCCGCGGAACAUGCAGCAGGUGGCCGCGCAACGUAGGCUUCAGCAGACGCAGGCGCAAGUUGACGAGGUGGUGGACAUUAUGAAAACCAACGUCGAUAAAGUCCUGGAAAGAGACGCGAAGUUAUCAGAACUAGAUGACAGAGCCGAUGCACUCCAGUACGGUGCGUCGCAGUUUGAACAACAGGCUAAGAGCUUAAAGAACAAAUUCUGGCUUCAAAACCUAAAGAUGAUGAUAAUAAUGGGAGUGAUUGGAAUCGUCAUAAUAGGCCUGCUGUUUGGUGAUAACAUUAAACAAAUGUUUGGUUAGUUCGAUACCGUGGCACCCCGACUAUGACUGGCAUCCCAGCGGGUAUAUCGGGCAUAGCCAGCAAUAUCACUAUGUCCGCUAAUACUAUUCAUUGAAAAUACAUGUAAGUUAUUUAUUCAUCGCAUCUGUUGGGUUCUACUUAAACCGUGAAGCUGUCUUCAAACACAUGCUACGUAUCGUCAGAAGACAACCAAAACUCACUAAUUACUAAAAAAUAAUUAAACAAAAAUCAAGGUUAUUCAGAUAAUAAUACGGUUCACUAUGGCUAUGAAUUUUUGGUGGUAAUUAGUGAGUUUUUGUUGUCAUCUGACGGUAUAAACUAGGUACUUUAUAUUCUACUAUUUAUCUACUUAAUAAAUUAGGUAGCAUCUUUACAAUCUAGAAUACCUAACAAUGGAACAAAAUUUGGGGUAAAUAAUAACCUUAUGAAAUUCGUAUUACUUAGAUACUUAAAAAAUUCAAUAUCAAAUAUUUAAAGGGUUAACAUGACGUUACCUAAAGCCAAACAACUUAAAUGACUAAGGUACUUACUAACUUCGCUUAGGUACCCGUUGUAAGAUUGUAAUAUUUCUUAUUAUUUUAUUUGUAAAAUUUAAAUUUAUUUGCGUGCCUUGUUCUAGGAUACUAUUUACAAGUCCUAAAUAAGUGUAACAUUUAAGUUAUGAUUUGAGACCUCGCUGUGACGCUGCUUUAAUUUUGACUCUAAAUCGACCUAUGAAUGCUCUAAAAGAAUCAAAGAGAUACUUAUAUUAGUAAGCGAGUCCUUCCAAACGUAGUGGAACGUUUAUCAAUAUUAAUAUAGCAUUAUUAUUACUAUAACUCAUGUAUGAAAACAGGAUUAUAUAAAUAACCAAUUUAACUUGUUAAACAAUUUAAAUGCAACAAAAUACGAAAUGUAAAAUCGUGACACCAAAGUUAGCCGAAAUAGAAAUAAAUGGAAUUGAAUUAUUAAGUGAUAGGUAUAUAGAAUUAAGGUAAAUCUUGUUUAAUAUUUAGUCUCAUAAUAUAACAAGUACAAUACCUAUAAAAUUGCAUAUCCGCUCUUUACUAAUUCACCGAUGUAGUCGGAAUAUGUAAGUAGCUGUGGGAAAGGGAUGUGGACCUACCUGCCGCCAGAUUAUGGAGCCUCUUGAAGUCAAUUAUUUGCAAUGUAUAUGUUACACAUUAUUAAGGCUGUAUAAUGAUUUGCUACUAGCAAAUGUCAAUUAGAAAUUUACUUUAAAAUUCAGAAAAAAAUCUUUACUUGAGGUAAAUUCUUUAGCAAUAUCUAACUUAAAAUUAUUUGGAUUAAAAUGGACUGUAUUUACAAUUUUUGUGUAAAUCGUAGGAGUAAUUUUAAAGUUUGCUUUCAUUUAUUCUUGUGCCUUCAAUUUUAUACGAACUAGAUAUUUUCACCCUAUGAGUUAGACGAUCUUAGAAUUCGAUUGUCAGUUAGUUUUGCAAUUAUUGCAGUACUUAGCUGUUAUUUGCUUUAGAAUAUUAAAUUUAGAUGAAAAUUGUAAGUAUAGAUUAACAAUAUGGUGCCAUUGACAAUAUUAGUUCUUUAUCAAUAACUGUGGAAUGAUGCGUGUAUCUACUGUAAUCUAUAAAAUGGGACAUGUUAUGGUAUUCUACAACUUUUAUCUUUUCGGUGUUGUGCAUAUCACAUAAUAUUAUAUAUAUAUUAAUUGAGUCUAAUACCUUUAAAUGCACUUAUGUUUAACGGAUUAUUAUUAUUAAAAUAGUUUAUCAACUUCGUUUAAAUCUUUAAGAAUACAUAUCUAGUGAUAUUUCUGUAAUCUAUAAAGCUAAUGGAAAUCACAUUUCUUACAAGCAGAACGAUCAGAGGUGCCCCAAAACAAAAUAUCGAACCUAAAUUUGUAAAUAAUGAAAUACAUACUUAAAACUUUCGACCUUCAUGUUGUUUUUAAUAACUAAAAUCAUAUCAAUAAACAAAUUCAAUGUUUUAUAGAGUUAUACCUAUUUAUAUUAAAAAUUUUCUGAUUCAACGAAUAGAAAUAAAAUACUUACAAUUUAAAUUUAUGAUGUUGUGAUUGUACAUAUUUAAUCUUGGAAUUAUUUUUGGCCUGAAACACUAAACUUUUAAGGGUGAAAACUGUUCUUAUUUUUUUAAUAUCUGUAAAGCGAGGGCGUCGUUUGACGACAUUUUCAUAGGUGUCUAUUAUAUGUAAUAGAAUACAAGAAGUCAACAGUUUUAGGUUAUACAAUAAUGUGAUUAAAAUGAUUACAUAAUUAAA